UUGACGAAAUAGAGAGACAAAGACCAUAGGAAUCUGAUGGGGGCUGCAAGUCUUAAGAGUUAUCUAGGAGAUGGCUUAGGCUAGACCCUAGCCGCCAUGGCCUCCCUUCGUGGUUCUUCCAUUAUGGACUUUGGGAGCAAAUAGCAGAUCAUCAAUGGGUAAAGCCUUCUUGGCGAGGUCAGUCGAGUUGUGCUUGGUUGAUAACUAACGGAGCAGCGGUGUAACGGUUGUAGGGGUUCAAAUCAUGUUUGAUUAGAAGCCCAGAUUGCCAACGACGAGUUCUUCACCAAUCGAAUCUAUCAUACCUAUCGGAAGAUCAGACCAGUGCUACAUCAAGUGGUAUCAAUAAGAUUUAGGUUAACCGUAAAGUAUAUUAUCGUGUGCCCUUAAGAUUUAUCUUGUUUUCAUUACCUACAGUCCGAAAAAAGCCAUACAAAAAUAUUUCCACUAUCCUAUAACCCCUUUGUGCCCCACAAUUUUUCGGUUCGGUUUGCUUUGCUGAAUUUUAAUCCCUUGCUGUGUCGGCGUGUUCAUCGGGUCUAUGUCUUGUUUGUGGUCUGUUUGGGUCCGUGCUUAUCAUCGUGCACUGCAAUUCAGUUUUCAUCUCUACAUAGUUCUAUUGCUGCCCAACCCUUGUGCAUGCAGCAAGAAGUAAAGUGCACUUUGAUUUUAUAGUUACUGUUUUUGGUGUGAGGAGAAAAAAAAGAAAGGGUCUUUGCAAAGUAGAAAUACUUUCAGCUCUGCUCUAGGGCUUGCCUUCCUAAGCAAAGCUACCCUUAGACUCUUCCGAACUUUACUUCAGAUCUUCAACAACUUUAGUUAGAUUAACUUGAGCUUCGCGCUGCUCACUCUCAGACUUGGGCACCAACUCGUACGUUCCGUCGGCGAGAUUGGCAGUGUCUACAUAAAAUGCAUAAGCAUGAGUUGUGUUGAUGGACAAGGUUAUUUAAGCAUUUCACUGUAAAGUUGUAAUCCAACAAAACUUAAGUUAAGUUACAAAAAAUUUCACUUAUAUUUCCUUGCAGUCAUUUAUCGAGCAUUAAUUAACUUUACUUAUUUUAUUAAGUAACUAUGGUGUUUCUAUGGCUUCAUUAACAUGCAGAAACUUCUAUUUUUCCAUUAGAAAACACAAGGCAGUAAAGUGGUGCUUGUAACUAAAGCUAGACAAGGUUUCUUGUCUUCGAAAUUUUAUGCAGAGUACCUUAUUGAGUAACAAGUUCACUGUAUAAAUUUCAACUCCUUUGUGCAGCAGAUUAAACAUGAAAAAUAAAAUACACAGCUACUACUAGAACCUAGUUCUAUUUAUACAAAAUAGACUAUACAAGAAUUGGUUCUCAACAUUUUUCAGAAUGUUCACAAGUCUAUAGUAAAUUUACUGUGAAUUUAUCAGAUUUUAUUGAGCAGGUUACAGAGCAUAGAAAAUUAAACAAAACAGAUCUACAGCAGCAAUAAUUUAUUUUUAUCUGUAUAUCUACUAUGAAUCUGAUCCCCAUACUUUCUAGCAUGACUAGUAUACCAAAUGUAGGCUCAGGUGAAAAUUUAAUAUUUUUCUAAGUAUAGGAACUAUUUAUACUUAUUUAAUGAAUUAUUCUUAUCUAAAAUCAUAUGAGCAAGUUAGGCAGGAGCAAAAUGUCCCAAAAUUUUUCCAUAGCAUCUAUGUGACAAUGUAACCCUACUGUAAAAUUUUCACAUGCAGAUAUACAGUACAACAUCAUGAACAAGCACAUCUAGCAAUUUAUUGCCCAAAACAAGAUUUAUCAAGAACUUUUUCUAGAGAACAGUACUAGCCUUGAAAUUUGUACACAAACACCAACAUCACAUUUGUAAGACACCAUAAAUAUUUCAUGUCAUUUGAGGGCUUUAAAAUGCCGUUAGGAAAAAGACAAGUUCAACUAGCAUUUAAACAUUAUUAAGCAUAUAUCCAUUGUUACAGUAAAAAAUUUAAACUAAAGCAUGUCCUAUUAUUGUUACAAGGUGUAGAUCUAUUCACAACGAUUCCAAAAUAUCCACAUUUACUAUUUUAUGAUUUUUCUGUGAUUUUAGAUUGAUUUUACAAGUGAUUGCCUUUUGAAAACAAAAGUUAACUCGAGUUCUCGCAGAUAGGUCCCUAGAUCUAACAGAAAGGAACCUAUAACUUUUGCAAUUAAAGCAAUCAGGUCCCUAGGUGCUGCUCAUGGCGGGGGAAGCUCUGUCCGGCCGAAAUCCGGUGAGCUCGCUUGCCGGCGGGGAGGGCAAGGUAGGGGAGGAGCAAGAGGAGGCCUAGGUCUACCUUUGGGUGGUCUUGGUUGGGCCGAGGAGGGAUAGGGAGGGCUGCUGGUGGUGAGCAGGAGCUCCGGCGCGUGUAGGCAGCGCGCAGCGGUGGUCUGGCGAGGGAGGGUGGUGGUGGUCGGGCUAGGAGAUUUCGGUGGGAGGUGGCGGAGCUCGCUGAGGGGUCAAUUUGGGCGGAGGAAGACCGGAGGUGGGGGCUCCAUGGUGAGGUCGAGCUCGGCGGCGCCAAUGGCGGGCGGCUGUGUUGCUCGGGCGCGAGAAGGGGGCCGGUUCGGCUUUUAAAGACGCUGAGGGAGAGGGGAGAGGGUGAGAGGAGGUCUGGGCAUGUGCGCAGGGCUCACGCGCUGUCGGGGUAGGCCGGCGGAAGGCGCUCGGCACCUUUACUGGUCGUCGUGCGCCCGCAGGCAUCCUGUACCACGCGGCUGCCAGUGGUAGGGCGGGUUGUGGCACACGCGACGAGGGCGCGGUGACGGCAGCAGCUGUCGGCGGCCUAUCGAGCGAGGAGGCUUGGCGCGGUGUGGUGGUCAGGCAUCGCCGGCCACCUGGAGCCGAUGCCCCACCAUGGUCUGAACAGGGGAGGGGAGGGAGGAGACAGAAAGGGAGAAGGGAGAGAAAAAGAAAGGUCAACUGCUGUUUGACUGAAGAAAAACUUCCAAAUUUUGAACAAAACUCAAAAAACUCUCAACACAAAAGUUGUAGAGAAUUUAAAACUCUACUGUUUCAGGCUAAAUUUCAAUUGGACUAUAGUUUAGAAGUUAUUUUAGAUUCACUCGAAUUUGAACUACUUGUCAAUUCAUGUUCAAAUUUCAAAUUUUGGUCAAAAUUUCUAAAUCCUUUUUUUUAGAUCAUGUUAACGGGGAUAGGUUAAUAUAUUUUGCUAGACAUGUUGAGUUGAUUUUGGGAACAAUUAUAGAGUGCAUUUUACUAAGCACAUCUAGACAUGCAAUACAUACCUACAUACAUACACAUACACAUGCAUUUUUUGAAUGAAAUGCUUUGUUUGAAUUUUUCUUGUUCAUUAUGCAUGAUGCUGUAUGCAUGAUCUUGUUUUAGCAUUUUAAACACCUAGGGUUUUACAUUCAUCACCCGGAAGCGCAAGGCAGCUGUCAUCUCAGUCCAUGAUGAUGAACCCUUGAGUGUUGAUGCUUCUGACCCCAAGCGCUCGAAGCACGGGGUAGAAGACAAAACUGCCGGUGAUGCUACAACAAGGCAGAGCAUGCCGACUGUUGUAGCAGAGCCAUCAUUGAAUGUUGUUGGAGACGCGGCAGGUGGCCCACUGAGGCAAACUUCCAGCUCGGCUGGCAAACUUGCCACCAUGAGUACUUUGGGUGCCGUUCCAGCACCUAAUGUGCUCAAAAUAAAGUGUGAAAAAUAUCUUCAUUUUUCUCUGUUGUGCAUAGGAAAUCCACUGUGUUGGUGUUUUACCGCCACGCCCACUGAGGGAUACCCUCGAGGUGGAGGUAGGGUGUUGCCGAGAUCAGAAACUCAAAGGUGUAAGGAACAUGAAGUUUAGAUAGGUUCAGACUGUCGAGAGCGUAAUACCCUACGUCCUGUGUGUGGUUUGUAUUAUCUUAGAUAUUGAUCAGGUUGAUCUUGGUUGGAGGGGGUCCCUGCCCACCUUAAAUUGUUUGGGGGGACAGGGUUACAUGGAAAUCCUAGCCGGAUAC